GUGGGUGAUGGCGUGCCUUUUGAAGAAUGAGCCUGCGAGUUAGUGGCAUGUGGCGAGGUUAACCCGUGUGGGGUAGCCGUAGCGAAAGCGAGUCCGAAUAGGGCGUUGAGUCGCGUGUUCUAGACCCGAAGCGGAGUGAUCUACCCAUGGCCAGGGUGAAGCGACGGUAAGACGUCGUGGAGGCCCGAACCCACUUAGGUUGAAAACUGAGGGGAUGAGCUGUGGGUAGGGGUGAAAGGCCAAUCAAACUCCGUGAUAGCUGGUUCUCCCCGAAAUGCAUUUAGGUGCAGCGUCACGUGUUUCACGCCGGAGGUAGAGCUACUGGAUGGCCUAGGGGGCCUACAAGCUUACCGAAGUCAGCCAAACUCCGAAUGCCGGUGUGUGAGAGCGUGGCAGUGAGACUGCGGGGGAUAAGCUUCGUAGUCGAGAGGGAAACAGCCCAGAUCGCCGGCUAAGGCCCCUAAGCGUGUACUAAGUGGAAAAGGAUGUGGGGUCGCGAAGACAACCAGGAGGUUGGCUUAGAAGCAGCCACCCUUGAAAGAGUGCGUAAUAGCUCACUGGUCAAGUGAUCCUGCGCCGACAAUGUAGCGGGGCUCAAGUACACCGCCGAAGCCGCGGCACUCCAACAUGACAUCCGCAUCGGGUUACGGUCCGGUGCGCAGUGGUUGGGGUGGGUAGGGGAGCGUCGUGCAGCCAGGGAAGCAGCAGUGUGAACUAGUUGUGGAGGCUGUGCGAGUGAGAAUGCAGGCAUGAGUAGCGAAAGACGAGUGAGAAACUCGUCCGCCGAAUGACCAAGGGUUCCUGGGCCAGGUUAAUCCGCCCAGGGUGAGUCGGGACCUAAGGCGAGGCCGACAGGCGUAGUCGAUGGACAACGGGUUGAUAUUCCCGUACCCGUGUAUCCGCGCCCAAUGGCGAAUCA
rnacentral:rRNA from 1 species